GCGGGGUUCAGCCGGCAUUCGUGCCGGUGUACUUCCCCGCGAGCGGGCCAGCGUCGGUUUGGGCGGUCGGUCAAAGGCCUCUGGAAGGUAACGCCCCCUCGGGGGCGUCUUAUAGCCAGGGGUGCAAUGCGGCCUGCCCGGACCGAGGAACGCGCUUCGGCUCGGACGCUGGCAUAAUGGUCGUAAGCGACCCGUCUUGAAACACGGACCAAGGAGUCUAA
rnacentral:rRNA from 1 species